CCAGACUCCUACGGGAGGCAGCAGUAGGGAAUCUUCGGCAAUGGACGAAAGUCUGACCGAGCAACGCCGCGUGAGUGAAGAAGGUUUUCGGAUCGUAAAACUCUGUUGGUAGAGAAGAACGUUGGUGAGAGUGGAAAGCUCAUCAAGUGACGGUAACUACCCAGAAAGGGACGGCUAACUACGUGCCAGCAGCCGCGGUAAUACGUAGGUCCCGAGCGUUGUCCGGAUUUAUUGGGCGUAAAGCGAGCGCAGGUGGUUUAUUAAGUCUGGUGUAAAAGGCAGUGGCUCAACCAUUGUAUGCAUUGGAAACUGGUAGACUUGAGUGCAGGAGAGGAGAGUGGAAUUCCAUGUGUAGCGGUGAAAUGCGUAGAUAUAUGGAGGAACACCGGUGGCGAAAGCGGCU
rnacentral:rRNA from 1 species